GUGAAUCAUCAAAUUUUUGAACGCAAAUUGCACUCUCCUAGGAGAGUAUGCCUGUUUGAGGGUCAGCCUAUAAAAAAUCGACAUCGUUGCUGUUUCGCGGUGGCGUUCGUCGGAAAUUGGGUCAUCUUAAAUCUUUUGGUUUUAAGCGACUUAAAAUUUUCCUUUUGGUUCCAUGAACGUUUCUAAGAUUUAUUUCUGGACACGUUUAAGGUAUCGAUUGUUAUUAGACGGGACCAUCAUAUCGGAUCGCGCCAAACAUCUUUCAUUAACUGACCGCAGACAGGUAAGAGGACCG
rnacentral:misc_RNA from 1 species